GCUGGGAGUGGUGGCACAUGCCUGUAAUCCCAGUGGCUUGGAGGCUGAGACAGGAGGAUUGCAGGUUUGAAGUCAGCCUUAGCAUUUUAGUGAGGCUCUAAGGAACUUAGUGAGAUCCUAUCUUAA
rnacentral:sRNA from 1 species